UCUGCCUUUCAGGCGCGUUUCAACGUAUUUUAAUAUAGAGAGUUUUGUUGUGAAAUUGCCGCUCUUAUUUUGAUGUGUCGCUCCACCGGAUGUGCUGCUGGGAUUUCCCCUGGGACAUGAGAGCGCAAAGUUGAGGCAGAGAGACAGCACGGAGCUUCAAUUCUCACUCGUUUCGUGCCUUUUUUCUGUUUUACUCCUGGAGAAGCAAUGCCUUUUCACAUCCUUUGUACUCAAAAAUGGCAAGCCUCCGCAUUAAAGCUCCACUGCAAGAAGGA